AGUCGAGCGAUGAACCCUUCGGGGUGGAUUAGCGGCGGACGGGUGAGUAACACGUGGGUAACCUGCCUCAAAGAGGGGAAUAGCCUCCCGAAAAGGAGAUUAAUACCGCAUAAUAUGUUUUGAUCGCAUGAUCUUGACAUCAAAGGAGUAAUCCGCUUUGAGAUGGACCCGCGGCGCAUUAGCUAGUUGGUGAGGUAACGGCUCACCAAGGCGACGAUGCGUAGCCGACCUGAGAGGGUGAUCGGCCACAUUGGAACUGAGACACGGUCCAGACUCCUACGGGAGGCAGCAGUGGGGAAUAUUGCGCAAUGGGGGAAACCCUGACGCAGCAACGCCGCGUGAAUGAUGAAGGCCUUCGGGUUGUAAAGUUCUGUCUUCUGGGACGAUAAUGACGGUACCAGAGGAGGAAGCCACGGCUAACUACGUGCCAGCAGCCGCGGUAAUACGUAGGUGGCAAGCGUUGUCCGGAUUUACUGGGCGUAAAGGAUGCGUAGGCGGACAUUUAAGUCAGAUGUGAAAUACCCGAGCUUAACUUGGGUGCUGCAUUUGAAACUGGGUGUCUAGAGUGCAGGAGAGGUAAGUGGAAUUCCUAGUGUAGCGGUGAAAUGCGUAGAGAUUAGGAAGAACACCAGUGGCGAAGGCGACUUACUGGACUGUAACUGACGCUGAGGCAUGAAAGCGUGGGGAGCAAACAGGAUUAGAUACCCUGUAGUCCACGCCGUAAACGAUGAAUACUAUGUGUCGGGGGUCGAACCUCGGUGCCGCAGUUAAC
rnacentral:rRNA from 1 species